UGACCAGCCCUUCAGCUCUACUGGUUUCUUCUCUGGUUGGAGUUUCAGCACUUCUAGGAGGAGGGAGGCCUUUCUCUCUGAGAGGUCUAUGGACCAGACUGCAGGAGCUGACUGGUAAACUGGCUGUAAUGCUGGAAGGACACUCCUGCCUGUUUGAGUCUCAUAGUCCUUCACAUUGGAGGAAAUCUGAACAAACAGUUUAAAACACAGAUGAUAUACAGCCCUUCAGCUCUACUGGUUUCUUCUCUGGUUGGAGUUUCAGCACUUCUAGGAGGAGGGAGGCCUUUCUCUCUGAGAGGUCUAUGGACCAGACUACAUGACUGGCUGACUGGUAAAGUGGCUUCAAUGAUGGAAGGACACUCCUGGCUGUUUGAUUCCUAUUGUACUUCACAUUGUAGACAGAGAUGAACCCUCUCUAGACUCUGCUUCAUCACUUCUUCUGCUCUCUCAAACACUCGUAUUUCACCCUGGACUGGAAGCUGCAACUCAUUUCCACAGAGACCAAGUAAGCUGGUGAAGUCCAUCUCUGCCUCACUGCUCAGCAAAGUUGUCCAGAGUUGACACAGCAUUGA
rnacentral:lncRNA from 1 species